UCAGAAGGCCGGAUGGCCGCUGCCCCGGCGACGGGGAGAGGAAAGUCCGGGCUCCACGGGUCCACGGUGCCGGGUAACGCCCGGCGGGGCGACCCCAGGGACAGUGCCACAGAGAGCAGACCGCCGCCGCUCGGCGGUAAGGGUGAAAGGGUGCGGUAAGAGCGCACCGCCCGGCCGGUAACGGUUCGGGGCAUGGCAAACCCCACCGGGAGCAAAACCGAAUAGGGGCGACACGGGCCGGCUUGCCGGUCCGGCGGCUGGACCCGCCGUCGUCGCCCGGGUUGGUUGCUUGAGGCGCGCGGCAACGCGCGUCCUAGAGGAAUGGUCAUCGGCGCGGGGCAACCCGCGACCACAGAACCCGGCUUACAGGCCCUCUGACGCC
rnacentral:RNase_P_RNA from 1 species